rnacentral:rRNA from 1 species
AUUGAACGCUGGCGGCGGGCCUAACACAUGCAAGUCGAACGAGUGGCGGACGGGUGAGUAAUGUCUGGGAAACUGCCUGAUGGAGGGGGAUAACUACUGGAAACGGUAGCUAAUACCGCAUACCAUCGGAUCUGCCCAGAUGGGAUUAGCUAGUAGGUGGGGUAAAGGCUCACAUAGGCGACUAUCCAUAGCUGGCCUGAGAGGAUGACCGGCCACACUGGAAAUGAGACACGGUCCAGACUCCUACGGGAGGCAGCAGUGGGGAAUAUUGCGCAAUGGGCGAAAGCCUGAUCCAGCAACGCCGCGUGUAUGAAGAAGGCCUUCGGGUUGUAAAGCACUUUCAGCAGGGAAGCGUUACCCGCAGAGGAAGCACCGGCUAACUACGUGCCAGCAGCCGCGGUAAUUC